UACAUUUAAAAGCAAUUUCCAGUAUUUCUGUUUGUGCCCAUUACCUUUUGUCCUGUCACUGAACACCACUGUGAAGAGCUCCACCUUCUCCCCUUUCUCCCAACAGGAAAAGUAAGUACACAUCCAAUCUGAAAGGUAAUUUCAGAACAAAUAUUAGAACAUAUUGCAUCCACAUUUCUACUUCAAGGGGUUGAUUGAGUACACGGGGCUGCAAACAGACACCGUCAGCAUGGGAAUUCAGAUUCACAGAGUAAUACAUUGAUAUGAUGUUUAAACAUCAUAUUUUAUUUAUAUCCACACAACCAACAAAAAUGGUAACACAACCAAUAUAAACGGUUACAAGCCCUGAAUUUGUUGCAAGCCCUCACUCACCAUGUUGGUUGUUUUUAGCUUUGGGUUUUUCACUAAUAAACAGAACAAAUGGCAAAGCUCACCAGAAAAACACACAGAAGCUUUAGAGCUUAAUUGGCUUCUACAUUUGGGUCAGCAAAUGUUCCUGCUACAAAGCCAGUGAGGGAUUCUUGCAACCUAUUCAUGUUUCUCACCAGCACAACAGCAGCUAAAAAGAUAGGCAACCAUGGCUACCGUCAUGGGAUCAGCAAACUUCUUUUCACAGCUGUAAAUAUUUGUAGUGGAGCCAAUUAGAGGCAGUGUGGUUUUGUCAGCAUUGCCUAGGAAACAUCAAUAGCUGCUCCAAAGAAUCCCCCUCCUCUCCUGAUCCUGCUGGAGUUUAUUGAACAGGGCUGUGGCUGAUGGUGCCUCCUCCACACACUGAGCUAGAACUAGUUGAGAAACCAGCUCUGGCAAGGAAUAAAGCUUCUCCUGGAGGUACUAAGCUCCUCAGCUCUCUGGUGGGACUAUGAAAGCAGCAGGGAGGCAGCUGGGGGAGAUCCCAGGCAGUGAGAUUCAUUUUAAACUAAGUGGAAGAUUUCAGGUUCCUUUAGUACAUCUUGUUUGUGUCAAAAUCCCUGUUCUGAGGAAAUGUCUUUCAAGGGCAUUUGGGCACUGAUGCAGCUGCUCUCAGGGGAGUUCUACAAGCAAGAGAGCCACGUGUUUAGAAGUCAUGGAUAAAAGUGGUUUCCUUUUCUUCUGAGCGUAAAAGCAAACACAGCCUCAUAAAACUGGGAAAAUUUUAAAGAACUAGUACCUUACAUCUUUCCAUGCAAGGUCCCCCAAAACACAAGGCACCUACAAGCAACAUCCCUCAGCUACAGAUUUUUCAAGACACAGGAGUCUGUGUGACUUGUCAAUUUUAAGGAGUAUUUACCGCAUCUAAACAUCUUUGACUUCCACUGUCAGGCACUUCACUGAUGUUCAGGACAAAAUGCUACGAAAAGGUGAAGGGUGUACCACAUGAAGGGGGUCAGAUGAUAAUCCCAAAACUGAUUACAGAGUCAUAGAAUCCAAAAAGCCUUCCAAGAUCAUUGAUUUUCCAAGAGUUAACCCAGUGUUGCCAUGUUCACCACUAAACCCUGUCCCCAAGUGCCACAUCCAAACACUUUUCGAAGCCUUCCAGGGAAGUUUUAUGCCACAUGGAUGAGGGAACAUUUGAAAAAUUUCCUAUUAGCUACAUACUACUAGCUCCUAUUUGAUUUUUAGCAGCUCUCCAGCUGAUUCCCCAGAUCCAUAACAUUUUCUCCUGGCAAACCACUUUAAUGUGAAGUAUGGCUGCAACUACAUUGAUGUUGAGUGGCUCUCUUUGUGCUCCAUCUCAGUUCUCGGCACUUCCUCUGAAGGUUUUCCUGUUUAAAGAGAACAUCACUCAUACAAGCUGCCAGGUGUCCAGAGGAACAGGACUGAGGUUCCCCAGAGGAGAAGUGUUUAUACAUUAUGGGAAUGUGGGUGCAUCAUGGGCACCCACCCAUGAUGGGUAAAUACAAUGCAAAGGCUGACAACUCUGCCCUGCUACAGCAAAUUUUAAUGCCAGGCAUUCCUCCCUGCCUCACACAGCCCUGCAGUCAGCAAUAAUGCAGCUCAGCAGAUACCACAGGUAUGGCAUGAAAGAAAGCAUGAAAAAUGAGUUUAAACCUCCCCCCCCCCCCCCGCCCCCCCCCAACUUGUAAAAACAUCCCUAAAGCCUUUCCUGAUUUUCACUGAAGAGGGACAAGUCAUCAAACAGAUCUUCUACAAGUAUUUUGGAAGCUGGUUAAUAUCUCUCUUUUUUCCUGCUGCACUGACUGAAAGUUCUCAUUUUUCCAGUGGGAAGCAGCCAGCAACCAGCAGAGCAGCAGCAGAAAUGCUGAGCUCUCAGUGUGAGAGGGUGAAGGAGCAGGAGCCACAGGCACCCUGCUGGCACACAGGAACACAUCUACUUCUCCAGAGAAGUGUUGCAGUUGUUUACUGUCAGCUGGGAUAACAGGAUCAUUGCUCAGGCACCCCGGGAUGCAAACAUCAUCCACUUCCAUGAACUGAAAGGUGACAGCUCACACUGUGAUAACCACCCUGCUACCUCAUUUCUCAUGCUGUUACAUAAAUCCUUGGGAGGAUAAUGGGCAAUAGACUUGCUCAAAAGACUAAAAAAAAAUUCUGGGAUGUCAGUGCACCAGGAUUAGGUUAACUUAAUUCUAUAGUUGGGCAGAUUUGGAGAGAACUGAAAAAAAAAAUAUGCUUUCAGAUUUACCAGCCUAAAUAAAGGCUUGAUGCUACUGGAAAUCUCCUGCACACACAAGUCUGGGAAUUCCCAUUCACUCAGGUCACUAUCAUGGAAGAGCAAAUACCUUGGAACAAAAUGGAACAGAACCUGCUGCAUCUGCUAAACCAGUACUGAGCUGUGCUGCCUCAAAUCUUGACAAACCAGUGGUUUUUUUUGGAUCACAAAGAGAAAACAGUCAGGAGCCUCAGUAGAUUUUUGUCCACAGCAGAAUAUUCAAUGACAUGGUGCUAAAGCCAUUAUCAAAUGAGAGGUGAGAGAAUUGCUGUCCCAUUAAUUCUGCCAAUAAUCGAGCUCAUUACAGAUCAUGGUGCUGUGCUAUCAAAUGACUUGAUUUUAAUAAUACUAUAAAGAAAACAGAGACCCUAUUCCAGUAAUUUCAGCUAUCUGAAAAGCUUGUGCAGGGAGCAUUUUGUACCAAAGGUAACAUCCAAAACCAUGAGCAAAAUUUCAUGCUGUCAAAGCCCUGGAGAACAAAGUGAAAGGUAGAAAAACUUGACUUUUAGGGUUAUGAUCUCACUCCAGACAUCAGAACCUUAAAAUCAGAGAUAGGGGAAGGAAUUGCAUAAUUUACUAUCUAAAUCCAGGUUUUCACUGACCUCUAAUACAUUUGAUAGAUUUCCAGUAGGAUUUUGUGACAGAAAGAUUAUUUCCCAAAUUUUCACUGAGAUUUGCAUAUUCCCCAUGGGUUCCUCUUCCCUUCUGAUAGAAACAUCCCAAUUAGCAAGGGCAAAUGCUCCUCCUCUAAUCAGAGCCAUGAUCUCAAGACUAACAAUGCAAGGAGCUCUUGGGAAGGUGAGUCAUGGAAUAAUUUAGGUUGGAAAAGACCCUUAAGAUUAGGUCUGAGAUUUAACCUAACUCUUCGGUCCACCACUAAAACAGCUCCCUAAGCACCACGUCUACACCUCUUUUAAAGACUUCCAGGGAUAGUGAAUGGCUUUAUCUGUCUGUAGGAAAUGAUCCUCUUUGGUUUCCUCACACACACACAGGAUCAUCAAAACUGGGAGACCAGCCUCAGUAUCACUACUGAGCACUGUGUACAGGAGAAUUUUAUUUGCUGCUUUCAAAGGCAUUUGUUUUUCAAUCAGAGAUUCCACAAUUCCUAUCAUCCCAUUUUCAGCAGCUCUAACUUGCAACAGAAAAAAAGCCCCACAGCAAAUUUUCCUUGGAGGUUGCACUGGUGAUACUAGGGUCUCCCAGCUUCCAUCCCAUCCAAUUUUGUCAUAUUGCUGAAAAACACCUGCCUUGCACUAACCCAGACUUUUUAGACAGGAAUCAGCCUGUGGAUCACAGCAGGAUUCAGAUGAACCUGGGAAAAAAUAUUCUGGAGAAUCAGAACUCAACCAAAGCAUGAGCAAACCACUGAGGUGCUAUCACUGCAGAACUGAAGCCACUGGGGGGUGGGAAGAUCAGACAAGCAGUGCAAGAGGGACAAAAGGUGAGAGAGAAUAUAUAAAUUGAGAGAGAGCUCUAAGUUUGCAUGGAAUGGGUUUGAAAACUUGCUGUCAUAUGAUGUUCAAAGGCCACAGGUCACACUGAGCCACUGCAGAACACCACUGCCUCUCCUUCUAGGCCAGGCUCUGUGUGCCCAAGCUCCCCUAAAGGCCCUUCAGCCCCUUUUAUUCCUAAUAAAAUGCUUCUGAAAGGGUUUCUUUCAUGUUUCAAUGUCAUGCUUUUGUAAUUAAGCAAGAUCUAACACUUCCCAUGUGCUCUGCUCUCUUUGUGCUUUACAGAGGAACAGAGGUGGAAGCAGCAGUGGAAAAGAGGGGGCAAACACAGAAUGAGAAAAUAAUUUAGGUUGGAAAAGACCUCUAAGACCAUCCUUCACAUCACAUCAACAACUACAUUUCAAGAGGAGAGCCCAGGCCCUCUCAGUUAAUGCCACCAAUCAUUCUGGAUUAUUUUACGCAAAAUGCACUCUCUUAUUUCACUCAUUUCCUGCACACUACUGAGAAGGAAAAGAAGAAAAGAGAUAGAAAAGUAGGGUGCACACUGUAACAGCACUGCCCUUUGUAAAAAUACCUCCCACCUCCCUCUGUGACUGUCAUUAGAGAGCAGUUUGUGACACAGAAAAUUCCCCCCAAGUCUACUUGCUUGCCUUUCAAAGAUAAAGGCUCCAUUUCCAAACCUGCCAAUUCCCUCAUCCUCAAGAACCUCUCUGCUAUAAUCACUCUAUUCUCCAGACUUGAAUUUUCUUAAAAUAAUAGGCAGAGAUAUCACAGAUGCUCCUACAAGCAUUUUUAUCCCUUGUAACUUUGAAAUCUCUAUUUCAUUUUUCAAGGUCUUAUAAAAAUUAUAAUGCUGGGUAAAAUGAUGUGACCCCACUGUACACAGGAGGACAGACUAGAGGCUGUUAAUUCUGCCCCUCAGGCUCUAAAAACAUUGAAGACUCAGAGGAAGCUCAGAAGCUGGCUAAUGAUUUAAUUUUAGGCUUCUUGAGGACUGGUUCAUGAAUUGAAACUUGAAUUUAUAUCAGGUCUAUUCUGAAGAGAAUUGAAAGGUAGAAGAGCAGGGACGUCUCCACUGUCUUGAAGCAAAAUGAACAAAUUACAGAAAAAGUUUUCUUAUCAUCUGCUUUAGUUUGAACUAUAUUCAGGUUUUGGUGGGUAAGAACGAUAAAAUAAAGGCCACUCUGAGCAAACCACUUUGCUGAGUCCUGCUGCAGUUUGAUUUCCUCAUGUGUAUCUCUACCUGGGGCUCUUCCAUGCUACUGAUUCACACAACUUGUGUGAAUACAAGGAGCUUGAUCUCAUCUUCAUGCAGCACCAACUGCAAGCAAUAACACUCCUUUAAAGUAAUUUUCUCCAUCAGUGAUCUCCCACAAGCAGUUUCUUAAAGAUUAUUUUCAAAUAGUGGGAUAAUAAAUGCGCCUUCCACAACACAUGGUCAUCAAAUUCUUGCUAUCAAAGGCUUUAUAUUUCCAUAUUUCCAUAUUGAUAUAAUAUCAUGGGUCCUGCAAAAAGGCAGUAAAUACUGGUACAGAAUUUAAUCUCCCAAAUUCUCUCUCUCUCAUUCAACAGCUUUGUCCUCCAAGAUACACUUUAACUGUGCUGUAAGCCUUUUUCAGAGCAGAAAUAUAUGGAUAAGUGAACAAUUACAUUUCAAUUAUGCACAACUCAGUUGUAAGUGCAACAUGUUCUCCUCCACAAAUGAAGCGGUGUUUUUCUGGACUCAGUAAAAUCAGUGUUUCAGAGGAUCCCGAAACACUGAUUAGAGGACAGAUGAGGAUCCUGGUUUCUACUCCUUGCAUUCCUUCAGAGGCAGUGAAACCAAGCUGCUGCUCCUCUCUCAGCUUUGGUAGGAAAUCAGUUUGGUUUGUGUGAUGCUCCACAUCUCAAUCCACAUCUCUGUGGAUAGGAAAUAUGGAUUUCCAGAGGGUAACAGAGAAGGUCUGGGAUCUACUACACCUGCCUGGAUCUAUUCUUCAAGCAA
ensembl:lncRNA